UGCUGGAGGUAUCAGAAGUGCGAAUGCUGACAUAAGUAACGAUAAAGCGGGUGAAAAGCCCGCUCGCCGGAAGACCAAGGGUUCCUGUCCAACGUUAAUCGGGGCAGGGUGAGUCGACCCCUAAGGCGAGGCCGAAAGGCGUAGUCGAUGGGAAACAGGUUAAUAUUCCUGUACUUGGUGUUACUGCGAAGGGGGGACGGAGAAGGCUAUGUUAGCCGGGCGACGGUUGUCCCGGUUUAAGCAUGUAGGCGGAGGUUCCAGGUAAAUCCGGUACCUUUUAACGCUGAGGUGUGAUGACGAGGCACUACGGUGCUGAAGUAACAAAUGCCCUGCUUCCAGGAAAAGCCUCUAAGCAUCAGGUAACAUCAAAUCGUACCCCAAACCGACACAGGUGGUCAGGUAGAGAAUACCAAGGCGCUUGAGAGAACUCGGGUGAAGGAACUAGGCAAAAUGGUGCCGUAACUUCGGGAGAAGGCACGCUGGUGUGUAGGUGAAGUCCCUGCGGAUGGAGCUGAGACCAGUCGAAGAUACCAGCUGGCUGCAACUGUUUAUUAAAAACACAGCACUGUGCAAACACGAAAGUGGACGUAUACGGUGUGACGCCUGCCCGGUGCCGGAAGGUUAAUUGAUGGGGUUAUCCGUAAGGAGAAGCUCUUGAUCGAAGCCCCGGUAAACGGCGGCCGUAACUAUAACGGUCCUAAGGUAGCGAAAUUCCUUGUCGGGUAAGUUCCGACCUGCACGAAUGGCGUAAUGAUGGCCAGGCUGUCUCCACCCGAGACUCAGUGAAAUUGAACUCGCUGUGAAGAUGCAGUGUACCCGCGGCAAGACGGAAAGACCCCGUGAACCUUUACUAUAGCUUGACACUGAACAUUGAGCCUUGAUGUGUAGGAUAGGUGGGAGGCUUUGAAGCGUGGACGCCAGUCUGCGUGGAGCCAACCUUGAAAUACCACCCUUUAAUGUUUGAUGUUCUAACGUAGGCCCCUAAUCGGGGUUGCGGACAGUGUCUGGUGGGUAGUUUGACUGGGGCGGUCUCCUCCCAAAGAGUAACGGAGGAGCACGAAGGUUAGCUAAUCCUGGUCGGACAUCAGGAGGUUAGUGCAAUGGCAUAAGCUAGCUUGACUGCGAGCGUGACGGCGCGAGCAGGUGCGAAAGCAGGUCAUAGUGAUCCGGUGGUUCUGAAUGGAAGGGCCAUCGCUCAACGGAUAAAAGGUACUCCGGGGAUAACAGGCUGAUACCGCCCAAGAGUUCAUAUCGACGGCGGUGUUUGGCACCUCGAUGUCGGCUCAUCACAUCCUGGGGCUGAAGUAGGUCCCAAGGGUAUGGCUGUUCGCCAUUUAAAGUGGUACGCGAGCUGGGUUUAGAACGUCGUGAGACAGUUCGGUCCCUAUCUGCCGUGGGCGCUGGAGAAUUGAGGGGGGCUGCUCCUAGUACGAGAGGACCGGAGUGGACGCAUCACUGGUGUUCGGGUUGUCAUGCCAAUGGCACUGCCCGGUAGCUAAAUGCGGAAGAGAUAAGUGCUGAAAGCAUCUAAGCACGAAACUUGCCCCGAGAUGAGUUCUCCCUGAGACUUUAAGUCUCCUGAAGGAACGUUGAAGACGACGACGUUGAUAGGCCGGGUGUGUAAGCGCAGCGAUGCGUUGAGCUAACCGGUACUAAUGAACCGUGAGGCUUAACCUU
rnacentral:rRNA from 1 species